rnacentral:rRNA from 1 species
ACGUAUGGUGCAAGCGUUAUCCGGAUUUACUGGGUGUAAAGGGAGCGUAGACGGAGUGGCAAGUCUGAUGUGAAAACCCGGGGCUCAACCUCGGGACUGCAUUGGAAACUGUCAAUCUAGAGUACCGGAGAGGUAAGCGGAAUUCCUAGUGUAGCGGUGAAAUGCGUAGAUAUUAGGAGGAACACCAGUGGCGAAGGCGGCUUACUGGACGGUAACUGACGUUGAGGCUCGAAAGCGUGGGGAGCAAACAG